GGCGUGCCUUUUGUAGAAUGAACCGGCGAGUUACGAUUUGAUGCAAGGUUAAGCAGUAAAUGUGGAGCCGUAGCGAAAGCGAGUCUGAAUAGGGCGUUUAGUAUUUGGUCGUAGACCCGAAACCAGGUGAUCUACCCUUGGUCAGGUUGAAGUUCAGGUAACACUGAAUGGAGGACCGAACCGACUUACGUUGAAAAGUGAGCGGAUGAACUGAGGGUAGCGGAGAAAUUCCAAUCGAACCUGGAGAUAGCUGGUUCUCUCCGAAAUAGCUUUAGGGCUAGCCUCAAGUGAUGAUUAUUGGAGGUAGAGCACUGUUUGGACGAGGGGCCCCUCUCGGGUUACCGAAUUCAGACAAACUCCGAAUGCCAAUUAAUUUAACUUGGGAGUCAGAACAUGGGUGAUAAGGUCCGUGUUCGAAAGGGAAACAGCCCAGACCACCAGCUAAGGUCCCAAAAUAUAUGUUAAGUGGAAAAGGAUGUGGCGUUGCCCAGACAACUAGGAUGUUGGCUUAGAAGCAGCCAUCAUUUAAAGAGUGCGUAAUAGCUCACUAGUCGAGUGACACUGCGCCGAAAAUGUACCGGGGCUAAACAUAUUACCGAAGCUGUGGAUUGUCCUUUGGACAAUGGUAGGAGAGCGUUCUAAGGGCGUUGAAGCAUGAUCGUAAGGACAUGUGGAGCGCUUAGAAGUGAGAAUGCCGGUGUGAGUAGCGAAAGACGGGUGAGAAUCCCGUCCACCGAUUGACUAAGGUUUCCAGAGGAAGGCUCGUCCGCUCUGGGUUAGUCGGGUCCUAAGCUGAGGCCGACAGGCGUAGGCGAUGGAUAACAGGUUGAUAUUCCUGUACCACCUAUAAUCGUUUUAAUCGAUGGGGGGACGCAGUAGGAUAGACGAAGCGUGCGAUUGGAUUGCACGUCUAAGCAGUAAGGCUGAGUAUUAGGCAAAUCCGGUACUCAUUAAGGCUGAGCUGUGAUGGGGAGAAGACAUUGUGUCUUCGAGUCGUUGAUUUCACACUGCCGAGAAAAGCCUCUAGAUAGAAAAUAGGUGCCCGUACCGCAAACCGACACAGGUAGUCAAGAUGAGAAUUCUAAGGUGAGCGAGCGAACUCUCGUUAAGGAACUCGGCAAAAUGACCCCGUAACUUCGGGAGAAGGGGUGCUCUUUAGGGUUAACGCCCAGAAGAGCCGCAGUGAAUAGGCCCAAGCGACUGUUUAUCAAAAACACAGGUCUCUGCUAAACCGUAAGGUGAUGUAUAGGGGCUGACGCCUGCCCGGUGCUGGAAGGUUAAGAGGAGUGGUUAGCUUCUGCGAAGCUACGAAUCGAAGCCCCAGUAAACGGCGGCCGUAACUAUAACGGUCCUAAGGUAGCGAAAUUCCUUGUCGGGUAAGUUCCGACCCGCACGAAAGGCGUAACGAUUUGGGCACUGUCUCAACGAGAGACUCGGUGAAAUCAUAGUACCUGUGAAGAUGCAGGUUACCCGCGACAGGACGGAAAGACCCCGUGGAGCUUUACUGUAGCCUGAUAUUGAAAUUCGGCACAGCUUGUACAGGAUAGGUAGGAGCCUUUGAAACGUGAGCGCUAGCUUACGUGGAGGCGCUGGUGGGAUACUACCCUAGCUGUGUUGGCUUUCUAACCCGCACCACUUAUCGUGGUGGGAGACAGUGUCAGGCGGGCAGUUUGACUGGGGCGGUCGCCUCCUAAAAGGUAACGGAGGCGCUCAAAGGUUCCCUCAGAAUGGUUGGAAAUCAUUCAUAGAGUGUAAAGGCAUAAGGGAGCUUGACUGCGAGACCUACAAGUCGAGCAGGGUCGAAAGACGGACUUAGUGAUCCGGUGGUUCCGCAUGGAAGGGCCAUCGCUCAACGGAUAAAAGCUACCCCGGGGAUAACAGGCUUAUCUCCCCCAAGAGUUCACAUCGACGGGGAGGUUUGGCACCUCGAUGUCGGCUCAUCGCAUCCUGGGGCUGUAGUCGGUCCCAAGGGUUGGGCUGUUCGCCCAUUAAAGCGGUACGCGAGCUGGGUUCAGAACGUCGUGAGACAGUUCGGUCCCUAUCCGUCGUGGGCGUAGGAAAUUUGAGAGGAGCUGUCCUUAGUACGAGAGGACCGGGAUGGACAUACCUCUGGUGUACCAGUUGUCGUGCCAACGGCAUAGCUGGGUAGCUAUGUGUGGACGGGAUAAGUGCUGAAAGCAUCUAAGCAUGAAGCCCCCCUCAAGAUGAGAUUUCCCAACUUCGGUUAUAAGAUCCCUCAAAGAUGAUGAGGUUAAUAGGUUCGAGGUGGAAGCAUGGUGACAUGUGGAGCUGACGAAUACUAA
rnacentral:rRNA from 1 species